GCUGGGCAUGGUGGUGCAUGCCUGUAAUCCCAGGGGCUUAAGAGACUGAGGCAGGAGGAUUGUGAGUUCAAAGCCAGCCUCAGCAAAAGUGAGGUGCUAAGCAACUCAGUGAGACCCUGUCUUUA
rnacentral:sRNA from 1 species